CUGGCUCAGAUUGAACGCUGGCGGCAGGCCUAACACAUGCAAGUCGAGCGGAUGACGGGAGCUUGCUCCUUGAUUCAGCGGCGGACGGGUGAGUAAUGCCUAGGAAUCUGCCUGGUAGUGGGGGACAACGUUUCGAAAGGAACGCUAAUACCGCAUACGUCCUACGGGAGAAAGCAGGGGACCUUCGGGCCUUGCGCUAUCAGAUGAGCCUAGGUCGGAUUAGCUAGUUGGUGGGGUAAUGGCUCACCAAGGCGACGAUCCGUAACUGGUCUGAGAGGAUGAUCAGUCACACUGGAACUGAGACACGGUCCAGACUCCUACGGGAGGCAGCAGUGGGGAAUAUUGGACAAUGGGCGAAAGCCUGAUCCAGCCAUGCCGCGUGUGUGAAGAAGGUCUUCG
rnacentral:rRNA from 1 species